rnacentral:rRNA from 1 species
GGAGGGUGCGAGCGUUGUCCGGAAUCACUGGGCGUAAAGGGCGCGUAGGCGGCCUGAUAAGUAGGGGGUGAAAUCUUGCGGCUUAACCGCAAGGCUGCCUUCUAAACUGUCAGGCUAGAGCACAGUAGAGGCAGGUGGAAUUCCCGGUGUAGCGGUGGAAUGCGUAGAGAUCGGGAAGAACAUCAGUGGCGAAGGCGGCCUGCUGGGCUGUUGCUGACGCUGAGGCGCGACAGCGUGGGGAGCAAACAGGAUUAGAUACCCUGGUAGUCCACGCCGUAAACGAUGGGCACUAGGCGUCGGGGGGAGCGACCCUCCCGGUGCCGUCGCUAACGCAGUAAGUGCCCCGCCUGGGGAGUACGGCCGCAAGGCUG